AUACGGAGGAUCCGAGCGUUAUCCGGAUUUAUUGGGUUUAAAGGGUGCGCAGGCGGCCAUUUAAGUCAGCGGUUAAAUCGUGGGGCUCAACCCCAUUCUGCCGUUGAUACUGGGUGGCUUGAUUGCGGUCGAGGUUGGCGGAAUUCGUUGUGUAGCGGUGAAAUGCAUAGAUAUGACGAAGAACACCGAUUGCGUAGGCAGCUGACCAGACCGCAAAUGACGCUCAUGCACGAAAGUGCGGGGAUCGAACAGGAUUAGAUACCCUGGUAGUCCGCACAGUAAACGAUGAAUACUUGUUUUCGGCGAUAUAAUGUCGGAGGCAAAGCGAAAGCGAUAAGUAUUCCACCUGGGAGUACGCCGGCAACGGUGAAACUUAAAGGAAUUGACGGGG
rnacentral:rRNA from 1 species